rnacentral:hammerhead_ribozyme from 1 species
AUCCAGCUGAUGAGUUCCAAAAUAAGACGAAUUGCACGUCCUGGAU